rfam:Loxodonta africana unplaced genomic scaffold scaffold_17, whole genome shotgun sequence.
GCACUCGUGGUUCAGUGGUAGAACUCUCACCUUUCAUGUGGGAGAUCUGGUUUUGAUUCCCAGCCAACACA